CCAAAAACACUACCUCCAAGAAGAAAGCAGGACCACUUCAUUCCUCUCAAUCCUGAAGCAGCCCCAGUCAGUAUUCGACCUUACAGGUACAACUAUUUCCAAAAAUAUGAAAUAGAGAAAUAAGUUAAUGAAAUGCUCUCUAGUGGUACUAUACAGCCUAGUUAUUCUCCCUUCUCUUCCCCGAUUCUUUUAGUUAAAAAGAAAGAUGGAAGUUGGAGAUUUUGUAUUGAUUAUAGGGAGUUAAAUAAGAUGACUAUUAAGGAUAAGUUUCCUAUUCUUUUGGUAGAUGAUUUGAUGGAUGAAUUACAUUGUUCCUACAUCUACUCAAAAAUUGAUCUCAGGGAUGGUUAUCAUCAGAUAAGGAUGGGAGAAACAGACAUCUAUAAGAUUGCUUUUAGAACUCAUUCGGACCAUUAUGAGUUCAAGGUCAUGCCCUUUGGCUUGACUAAUGCACCUGCCAACUUUCAAAGUCUUAUGAAUCACAUUUUUAAACCUUCUUUGAGGAAAUUUGUGUUGGUAUUUUUUGAUGAUAUCCUAGUUUACAGUUCUUCAGUAGAAGUGCAUGUAUUGCAUCUUAGAAAAGUGCUAGAGGUACUAUACAAAGAGCAACUAUAUGCUAAAUUGUCCUAAGUGUUCAUUUGGACAAGAUAAAGUUGAGUACCUAGGCCACAUUAUUUCAGUAAAGGGAGUUUCUACUGACCCUUCAAAGAUUGAAGCAAUGAUCAAUUGGCCUAUUCCUAAGUCUGUGAAAGCCUUAAGGGGAUUUCUUGGGUUAACUGGCUAUUAUUGAAGAUUUGUUAAGUCCUAUGGGGUUAUCAGAAGACCUCUGACAAAUCUUCUCAAGAAGAAUUCUUUUCAAUGGAGUACAGAAGCAGAAAAGGCUUUCCAACAAUUGAAAGAAGCUAUGUCAACUGUACCAGUAUUGGCUCUUGCUGAUUUCAGCAAACCCUUCAUUAUUGAAACUGAUGCAUGUGCAACAGGUAUGGGAGUUGUACUCAUGCAAGGGGGCAGACCUAUAGCCUAUUUCAAUAAGGCAAUAGCUUUGAAACACAGGGGACUUUCUACUUAUGAAAAGGAGUAUUUAGCUGUACUUUCAGCCAUACACAAAUGGAGGCAUUACUUACAAGGGGGACACUUCAUUGUCAAAACAGAUCAUCAAAGUCUUAAGUAUCUGUUAGAAAAAAAAAGUGACCACAACCUUGCAAUAGAAAGGACUCACUAAAUUACUAGGGUUGGAUUGCGAGGUCCAAUACAAGAAAGGUGUGGAGAACAAGAUUGCAAAUGCUCUUUCAAGAAGACAGGAAGAAGACUCUACUCUCCUAGAUAUAUCUACAGCUCAGGCCACUUGGUUACAUGAGGUUUCUCAGAGUUAUAAGAAUGAUCCAAUUUUAAGUGAGUUAGUGGUCAGUCCUAACAGUAAAGCUGACUAUUCACUAUACCAAUGGAUCAUCAGAUUCAAGCAAAAGAUCUGUGUGAGGAAGAAUAAAGAGUUGAAACAACAGAUGUUGGAAACCUUGCAUCAAUCAUCCUUAGGAGGACACUCAGGUCACUAAGGACCUUACAUGACGGUGCAAUCAAUGUUCUAUUGGCCAAACAUGAAAUCAAAAAUCUUUAAGUGGGUUAGUGAGUGUGAUGUCUGUCAAAGGACUAAGACUGAGCACAACCAUUACCCUGGGUUCUCCAACCCUUACCUAUUCCGGAACAGGCUUGGUAGGAUAUAUCUCUUGACUUUAUCGAAGGAUUACCUAAUUUUGGGCAGAGAAAUGUUGUGUUGGUGGUCAUAGAUAGACUAACGAAGUAUGGGCAUUUCCUAGCUAUUAAACACCCAUAUUCAGCACAGGACGUGGUAGAAUUGUUUAUGAGAGAGAUACAGAUUACAUGGGCUUCCCAAGACUAUUGUCUCUGAUAGGGACGCCAUUUUUACUAGCCAUUUCUGGAAGUAUCUCUUCAAGGCUUUAGGCACUAAACUCAACAUGAGUUCUGCCUAUCACCCAUAGUCCGAUGGUCAGACUGAGCGACUCAACAGGUGUUUAAAGACUUAUUUGCGAGCUAUGGUAUUUGGAAAUCCAAAGCAGUGGCUAAAUGGCUACAUCUUGCAGAGUGGUGGUACAAUACUAAUUACCACACUUCUCUUAAGACGACACUAUUUGAGGCAUUAUAUGGACACCCUCCGACUCAAUUACCAUUGGGUUCACUGCCUCAUAGUGGUCAUAACCCAGCAGGAGUCAACUUAGCACAGAGGCAGCACAUGCUUCAGAUUCUCAAAGAUAACCUCACUCAAGCUCAGUCUAGAAUGAAAUUCUAUGCAGACAAACUAAGGUCAAAAAGGACUUUGACAGUAGGGGAUCUAGUCUACCUAAAGCUUCAACCUUACAGACAAUCUUUAGUCGAUGUUCGCAAAAAUGUGAAUUUAAGUGCUCGUUAUUAUGGUCCCACAAGAUUCUACAGAAGAUUGGUACAGUGGCUUACCGGCUUGAACUUCCAAGCGGAUCUCAGCUUCAUCCCGUCUUCCAUGUGUCUCAAUUGAAGAAGCGGAUCGGACCAGCAGUGACAUCUCAGUCACAGCCUCCCACUUGUGAUGAGAAGGUCGAGUCUUGAUCCAACCAAUUGCCAUUUUAGGAAAAAGAAUGGUUAAGAUCGAUAAUGGGGUUCAAGUAAGGGUGUUGAUUCAAUGGGCUAACUUGGGCAGAGAAGAAGCAUCCUGGGAAGAUUGAGGUUACAUCAAGAAUCGGUUCCCAGAUUUUGUGGCACAACAAAAACCUUGAGGACAAGGUCUAUUUUGAAGGGGUGGAGAAUGUUA
rnacentral:lncRNA from 1 species